rnacentral:rRNA from 1 species
UAACGGCGAGUGAAGCGGCAACAGCUCAAAUUUGAAAUCUGGCCCCCAGGGCCCGAGUUGUAAUUUGCAGAGGAUGCUUUUGGCGCGGUGCCUUCCGAGUUCCCUGGAACGGGACGCCAUAGAGGGUGAGAGCCCCGUCUGGUCGGACACCAAGCCAGUGUAAAGCUCCUUCGACGAGUCGAGUAGUUUGGGAAUGCUGCUCUAAAUGGGAGGUAUAUGUCUUCUAAAGCUAAAUACCGGCCAGAGACCGAUAGCGCACAAGUAGAGUGAUCGAAAGAUGAAAAGCACUUUGAAAAGAGGGUUAAACAGUACGUGAAAUUGUUGAAAGGGAAGCGUUUAUGACCAGACUUGGGCCCGGUGAAUCAUCCAGCGUUCUCGCUGGUGCACUUUGCCGGGCUCAGGCCAGCAUCAGUUCGUCGCGGGGGAUAAAAGCUUCGGGAACGUGGCUCCCUCGGGAGUGUUAUAGCCCGUUGCAUAAUACCCUGCGGUGGACUGAGGUUCGCGCUCCGCAAGGAUGCUGGCGUAAUGGUCAUCAGCGACCCGUCUUGAAACACGGACCAAGGAGUCGUCUUCGUAUGCGAGUGUUCGGGUGUAAAACCCCUACGCGUAAUGAAAGUGAACGCAGGUGAGAGCUUCGGCGCAUCAUCGACCGAUCCUGAUGUUCUCGGAUGGAUUUGAGUAAGAGCAUACGGGGCCGGACCCGAAAGAAGGUGAACUAUGCCUGUAUAGGGUGAAGCCAGAGGAAACUCUGGUGGAGGCUCGCAGCGGUUCUGACGUGCAAAUCGAUCGUCAAAUAUGGGCAUG